CGCUGGCGGCGUGCUUAACACAUGCAAGUCGAACGAUGAAAGCGGGAGCUUGCUCCUGCUGGAUUAGUGGCGAACGGGUGAGUAACACGUGAGCAAUCUGCCCCGAACUCUGGGAUAAGCGUUGGAAACGACGUCUAAUACCGGAUACGACGCGCGAAGGCAUCUUCUGCGCGUGGAAAGAAUUUCGGUUCGGGAUGAGCUCGCGGCCUAUCAGCUAGUUGGUGAGGUAAUGGCUCACCAAGGCGACGACGGGUAGCCGGCCUGAGAGGGUGACCGGCCACACUGGGACUGAGACACGGCCCAGACUCCUACGGGAGGCAGCAGUGGGAAUAUUGCACAAUGGGCGCAAGCCUGAUGCAGCAACGCCGCGUGAGGGACGACGGCCUUCGGGUUGUAAACCUCUUUUAGUAGGGAAGAAGCGAAAGUGACGGUACCUGCAGAAAAGCACCGGCUAACUACGUG
rnacentral:rRNA from 1 species